UACGGGGGGGGCAAGCGUUGUUCGGAAUUACUGGGCGUAAAGCGUGCGCAGGCGGUUUUGUAAGUCUGUCGUGAAAUCCCCGGGCUCAACCUGGGAAUUGCGAUGGAGACUGCAAGGCUAGAAUCUGGCAGAGGGGGGUAGAAUUCCACGUGUAGCAGUGAAAUGCGUAGAGAUGUGGAGGAACACCGAUGGCGAAGGCAGCCCCCUGGGUCAAGAUUGACGCUCAUGCACGAAAGCGUGGGGAGCAAACAGG
rnacentral:rRNA from 1 species